rnacentral:lncRNA from 1 species
AUAUGUAUGCUCAUAAGAAUAUCUAGUGAGCGAAUUGCAGGCCUUUACCCCGCGGUAAAAAAUUAUAAUAAGGAAACCACUUUUAGAAUGCCUUAAGUCUAAGGACAAUUUUUUUUCAAGAAUUGCAGAAGUGAUUUGCUUUCACUUUUAGGUCAUGUAUGUUGAGAACAUUUCGACAUGUAGCUAAAGGUGUGACUUUUCUUCUGUUCUACGAAAUCAUAAGAUAUGUUUUUCGUCAACAUCAUAAUAGUCAAUACAGCCCGUACCCUUUUUCUCAUCAAUCAAACUUAGUGUCUGUCUUUUAUUUCAUGUGGUGUUUCACCUUCAUUUUCAUUUUAAGAUGAUCAACACAAAAUAAGUAUGGAAUUGCCCUUCAUGGGAAUAUGAUAUGAAUGCAUACUAGUUUAAUGCUUGGAAUUUUCGACUAAUCUGUAAUGUAUUUAGGGGUCGAUUUGAAAUAUCAUUGACAAACGUAUAGUUUUUGCUGAUAAUAUAUAUUAUUCAUAAAAAAAUUGAAUCACAGUCAUAUACCUUUCUAUAAUUUUCCACCGCUGGUUGGGCUGCCAAGUGAAUAUUUCUUUUAAGAAAUACCAGACAUUGGAAGUAGGCGUAUUUGAAUUUAAAUUUUUAAUUCGCUCUUAACCAAGUGCAAAACAGGUUUUAUUAUAUUUCUUCACCCGUCUGCUCCGUCCUCUGUAUGCGAGGGAAGUCCGAUAUUAUGACAUAAUUACCCAUAUUUAACGCACCAAUCACUGAACCCCACGAUAUGACGUUGGAAUAUUUUAUAUAUCAAGUCGACAUUUUUCACGAUAUUCUAUGUCAAUUGGCAGACUGCAAAUCGAAAGGCGGCAUUGAAAGUUUUUUUUCUGUGUAUGCGAGGUUUUUUGUCAAAGAAUAUUCAACAUGGCUCCUGGUGGCCGAUUCAACGAAACUCGUCGCCAUAAAGACGGCCCACUGGGGACAUGUUGCUGCGUCGUCAUAGCGGGGGGUUUCGUAGUCGGAAUCAUUCUGCUAAUCUUGUAUUUAACUGGCAACAUCUAAUACAUUGGGAAUAAUCGGAAUGUCAGAUCUGCAUCAUUACAGCGUCACUAGCCAAAGAAAUGAUGAAGAAGUGACCAAACAUACUCGCUCAAGUACGUUAUAUAGACAUCUAUUUAUGUUAUAAGGUAAAUCCAGCACUAUAUCAGAACACUACAUCCAUGUUAGCGAGGACUUCCAAAACCAUUAAAAAAUAAUCUACUACUCGGAACGACAAACUAAGAACACUUAUUUCGAUAUGACUGCUUUUAAAUUUAGAUUAGAGUUGCGAAAGACAAUUCAAAGGCUUAGGAUACAAGUCUUAUUCUGGCUAGGAGAACGGCUCAGAAGACUUGGAAGACUAAGGAUGUUGGGACCCCCACAACCCUUAUUUGCCAUUCAACUAGCAUCCAAUUGCAAUUAUGGUAUAUCGAGCAAUUUUUUUAAUACAAUAAGUGUAUUGUUCUUGUAAUAUUUUUUUUCUGGUAAAAUGUUAUGUAUCAGAUUGAACCUGCCUAUCAGAUGGCUGAAAUCCAUGGCUGAAAUAAAUGUUUUAAAUCUCUUUGACUUUGAAUACAGGAACGACACUAUGAUAACUUAACUUGAUUAUUUAACCAUUGAAAGUGAAGAAUUAAAUCAAUGCUGACUUUCCUCCAAAAUAACAUGACGUCUCAUCAUCAGUUAUAAAUGAAAUUCGAUAAAUAUCCCUUUUAAUAUUAGCUAUGAACUAAACUACCAAUGUUAUAUAGAACAUUGCUUGUAAAGGAAUUAUCUUGGAGAGUGAUAGUAAAUAAUCUAAGCCCUGACGAAUAUGAUACACAUUUAUUUAUGAAGAGCAAACAUCUCAAUGCCAAAAAGUGAAGAUAUCUUUUUAAAUGUGAACACUGUAUUUAAAGUAGUUAAAUUGAUCCUUUCUAUUUCAAACUAACAUUCCUAAUUACAUACAGUCCAGCAAUUAGUAGUUGGCAUUUAUUGAAUUUUCCGCCUUAUAAUUCUAAAUUAUGUACACCAGCAAAAAUGAAUGCCCUCCCCUACCCCAACACAUUGCGUUCCACUAAUAUUUCUAUGUAUAGUUUUGGUUAUAAUGAUUAGCAACAUAAUGUAUAUUUAUUCAAUACUUCCUUGUUUUCAAUGUGAUUUUCUUUUAACAAAUGAGCACCAAACAAACCGUUAUUUCCCCCAAAAUGUGUUAUGAUGUAAGAGAUAGAGGUCACACCUUGGAGGGAAGUUGUUGUUUAUUGACAUAUCUUUAUGGUAAAAAAAAUCAAACAAAGAUUAACAAUGUUGUGAUGAUGUAGAAUUUGUUAUCUAUUCCUAUAGACUUGAUCUGGUACAAGAGUCCAAUUUCGGAAGAACCAUUAAUGACCGGAAAAAAAAUUGAAAUGAAAAUGCGUUGCAUGAUUGUUUGAUACAAUGACAUAUCUCUUUUGCUGCAGAUAUUUGUCAAUUUUGCAAUGUGAUAAUGUUUGUUGAAUUGUCAACAUAUACAAUUUAUCUCAGUUUUGGUUAGAGUGUCCAAAUAUCAGAUAUUUAUUUCAAGGGAACUAAUAAUUACAUAUAAAAGGACCAGGGGUGUCGUAAGUGAUUUUCAGUUGAGGGAAUCUACCAAUUUUCUUAAUUCCGAAAUAGUUAUAAUUAUGUAUUGAAAAGUUAUGAAUCAUCAGGCUCUCUGUAGAAUGUGGUUGUUUUUAUCUUUAUUACAUCAAACAGGAAUUCGACCUCGGUAACUAGCUAAUCGUUUACAGCUAAACUAAAAACGCAAUGUUUAGGAAUCACUUCAAAUAAUUUUUGACCCAUGAACAGUUUAUAUACCUGUAGACUGUGAAGUAGUAUUACUUAUUUUUACUUGUAUUUUUAUAAGUUUCCGUUCGAUGUGUUUGUUCAGUGAAUAUCACACCCCGGAGGUUAAAUUAAAUUAUUACAAUCCCCUUA